rnacentral:rRNA from 1 species
UAGGGAAUCUUCGGCAAUGGACGAAAGUCUGACCGAGCAACGCCGCGUGAGUGAAGAAGGUUUUCGGAUCGUAAAACUCUGUUGUUAGAGAAGAACAAGGACGUUAGUAACUGAACGUCCCCUGACGGUAUCUAACCAGAAAGCCACGGCUAACUACGUGCCAGCAGCCGCGGUAAUACGUAGGUGGCAAGCGUUGUCCGGAUUUAUUGGGCGUAAAGCGAGCGCAGGCGGUUUCUUAAGUCUGAUGUGAAAGCCCCCGACUCAACCGGGGAGGGUCAUUGGAAACUGGGAGACUUGAGUGCAUAAGAGGAGAGUGGAAUUCCAUGUGUAGCGGUGAAAUGCGUAGAUAUAUGGAGGAACACCAGUGGCGAAGGCGGCUCUCUGGUCUGUAACUGACGCUGAGGCUCGAAAGCGUGGGGAGCAAACAGG